rnacentral:rRNA from 1 species
GAAAGCCUGUCUCAGUUCGGAUUGGAGUCUGNAACCCGACUCCAUGAAGCUGGAUUCGCUAGUAAUCGCGCAUCAGCCACGGCGCGGUGAAUACGUUCCCGGGCCUUGUACACACCGCCCGUCAAGCCAUGGAAGCCGGGGGUGCCUGAAGUGCGCUGCCGCAAGGAGCGCCCUAGGGUAAGACCGGUGACUGGGGCUAAGUCGUAACAAGGUAUC